CCUCUCGGGGGUAAGCGGGCAGAACUUGCAAGUAUUGUCAAGAGAUUCAGACUUGGAGUUGAGGACUGAGUAUACUUGUUAAAUGAGUCAUUCGUGUCUUAUUGACCUGUGUAUUUUGUUUCUUUAACUAUGCGUCGCACUUCUCUUGUACAUUCGGGUUGCAUGCAACUGAGUUGAUGGUUUAGGGGCUGAGGUACUGCGGAUCCUUGUUGGUCUGAGUCUUAGUUUCCGACUAUUCUUGCGGUUGUUGAAAGCGAACAAGAGCUUGUCUCGGUCAACUAUUUCCACGAGUCGUGUGCAUGGAGGGUAUGGACGGGUAACCGUAGUGCUCCCUGUGUACUGGUUGUCGGUGAGAGUAGUUUGGCAUUGUUCAGUAUUGCAAUCUAAAGCAUGCGUGGUCUGCCUGU
rnacentral:rRNA from 1 species